CAGUCGCCACGGUAAUACGAGGGGUGCAAGCGUUAUUCGGAUUGAUUGGGUGUAAAGGGUGUGCAGACGGCUUAUUAAGUCACUUGUUAAAUUCUUCGGCCUAACUGAAGGUCUGCAAGUGAUACUGAUGAGCUAGAGGGUGGAAGAGAGAAGUGGAAUUCUCGGAGUAGCGGUAAAAUGCGUAGAUCUCGAGAGGAACACCAAUGGCGAAGGCAGCUUCUUGGUCCAUUCCUGACGUUCAUACACGAAAGCGUGGGGAGCAAAUGGGAUUAGAUACCCCAGUAGUCCCUGUCUCUUAUAC
rnacentral:rRNA from 1 species